rnacentral:misc_RNA from 1 species
UCAACUGUGACAUGAAUUCUUCUAUACGUUGCCUAAACCAUUAAUCUAUUAUUCAAAAUUCUGCCAUUGAAAUUUUAGUGAUGGGUAUUGUUUUGUUAGAUGGUUUUUAAUUCAUAUAAUUGGGUUUAGUGAUGCCUAUUCUUCUACAUGAUUUGUAUAUGUUGCCUUUUUUGUUUGAUGAGUAUUGUUUUGUUGUUAGAAGUAU